rnacentral:rRNA from 1 species
UACGGAGGGUGCAAGCGUUAAUCGGAAUUACUGGGCGUAAAGCGUGCGUAGGUGGUUCGUUAAGUCCGUUGUGAAAGCCCCGAGCUCAACUUGGGAAUUGCAGUGGAUACUGGCGAGCUGGAGUGCGGUAGAGGAAGGUGGAAUUCCCGGUGUAGCGGUGAAAUGCGCAGAUAUCGGGAGGAACACCAGUGGCGAAGGCGGCACUCUGGGCCAGUACUGACGCUGAGGAGCGAAAGCGUGGGGAGCGAACAGG